GGCCGGGUCCCAUGCGACGCGUCUCGAACGAACCCCGUCAGGUCCGGAAGGAAGCAGCGGUAGUUAGGAGAAGCGUGUGCUGUGGGGUGCCUGGCCUUU
rnacentral:SRP_RNA from 1 species